CAGCCGUAAACAAUGUGCGUUAGGUGUGUCGGUAACCACGUGUUACUGAUGCGCCGAAGAGAAAUCGUGAAACGCACCACCUGGGAAGUACGGUCGCAAGGCUGAAACUUAAAGGAAUUGGCGGGGGGAGCACCACAACAGGUGGAGCCUGCGGUUUAAUUGGACUCAACGCCGGAAAUCUCACCGGAUAGGACAGACAAAUGAUAGUCGGGCUGAAGACUCUACUUGAUGAUCUGAGAGGAGGUGCAUGGCGUCAGUGACU
rnacentral:rRNA from 1 species